UAUCAAUCAUUUCACACAACGAGGUUAACGGGUAUUCUUCAGCCAAUUUACUAUCGUAAUCGAUGACCUACCUGUAUUACAGUAGACCAAGUCGAAGAGCAGUGUGGAGACGAAUUUGCACACUUUGUGGUAAACAUGUUUUGGACUGUGUUGUUUUUGAGUGAUUUACUCAUUAUUUGCAAUGCUUUGAUCAUGAAAGAUAUAUGUACGAACCCAGACGGAAAGGAAGGCCUUUGUAUAAAUCUGCAGGAUUGCCCUUCGAUAUACGCGAUGUCCACGGACUUUGAUAACCCCCUAACAAUCGACAGACUGAAUUUUCUAAUAGAAUCGCAGUGCGGAUACCUUGGCAACAAUCCAAAAGUUUGCUGUCCCGUUGCAGAAGUUUCACAAUAGAUUGGGAGUAAGUUUUCGUUUCAAAAGCGGAGGACAAGUUUUUUCAUUGAAGAGUUGAUGUUCACAGUUAGAUGAGCCGGAAUUAUUUCUUUUUCAAGGUGAAUCAGAAUUCCUAGAACGAUUAUUGCAAGAUCCUUCGCUUAUUGUUUGGUAGCAUUAGUGUUUAGUCUGUAGUUUGUCUUUAUCAGUAUGUUUGUAGAUAUCCAGUAUAAAAAAGCACUGAUUUUCAUUCUUCAUGAAAUUAUAUAUGUAAUUAAAGAAUUGAAGUGAAAAUUUCAUAUUA